rnacentral:rRNA from 1 species
AUUGAACGCUGGCGGCAGGCCUAACACAUGCAAGUCGAGCGGAUGAAGGGAGCUUGCUCCUGGAUUCAGCGGCGGACGGGUGAGUAAUGCCUAGGAAUCUGCCUGGUAGUGGGGGAUAACGUCCGGAAACGGGCGCUAAUACCGCAUACGUCCUGAGGGAGAAAGUGGGGGAUCUUCGGACCUCACGCUAUCAGAUGAGCCUAGGUCGGAUUAGCUAGUUGGUGGGGUAAAGGCCUACCAAGGCGACGAUCCGUAACUGGUCUGAGAGGAUGAUCAGUCACACUGAAACUGGGACACGGUCCGAACUCCUAGGGGAGGCAGAGGGGGGAAUAUUGGACAAUGGGCGAAAGCCUGAUCCAGCCAUGCCGCGUGUGUGAAGAAGGUCUUCGGAUUGUAAAGCACUUUAAGUUGGGAGGAAGGGCAGUAAGUUAAUACCUUGCUGUUUUGACGUUACCAACAGAAUAAGCACCGGCUAACUUCGUG